UACGAAGGUCCCAAGCGUUGUUCGGAAUCACUGGGCGUAAAGGGAGCGUAGGCGGCGUGGCAAGUCAGAUGUGAAAUCCCGGGGCUCAACCCCGGAACUGCAUCCGAUACUGCCAUGCUUGAGGGUUGGAGAGGUAGCUGGAAUUCUCGGUGUAGCAGUGAAAUGCGUGGAUAUCGAGAGGAACACUCGUGGCGAAGGCGAGCUACUGGACAACAUCUGACGCUGAGGCUCGAAAGGCUAGGGUAGCGAAAGGG
rnacentral:rRNA from 1 species